UUUUCCUUGACCAUUUUGAGAUCUCAAAGGUAUAAUACAUUAAAAUGAACCGAUAAAUGUAUUGAAUUCAAUGGAAAGGUGUUAUUUAGAAGCGUAUUUACUUGGUUGUCCAAGUGAAAUUGAGUGUUGAUUGGGUUCGUCCUCUUAUGAAAUUGAUAGGUGGGAUUUUUAGGUGUAAAUGCUAUGAAAAGAUGAGUUAGAUUGUUCAAGUUUGCACUUUUCCGAAAGUUGAUCGCCACAUCUGUUGAUUUUGUUUCCAAUCUUAUCACAAAUUAUUACAAAAAAGUGUCAACUAAUUUUCAAUGAGGUUUAUCCCCAUCGAGUUGAUUUUAAUUUUGUCCAUUUUUAAUUUUUCUCUAUCUCAUUUAACUUUGAAACAGCUGGAAGAUUAUGGUUUAAGUUCAGAGGAUAACUAUUGGUGUCAAAAUUAUUCUGAUUGCGAUGUACUACCAAACAAAGUAUGUAAAGUUUUGGCUAACCAGACAUCAGCUGUAUUUUCCUAUGAUAAUCUCAAUUUAAUGGGUAAGAGUAGGGUUGACGGUGAUGAGAAGGUAAUCAAAUGUAAAUGUUGUGUGGCUAAAGGAACCAAUAUACUGAUUCUGAGGAAAUUAUGGUUUGAAGCAAUUGACCAUUUAAAUAGGUUGUCAUCUCGAUCCAAGGAUAAGGAUAACCCUGUAACAUCAAUGGCGACUACAAUAACACAACCGACAAAACCAUCAACAGAACCGCCAAGGACAAGCGAAUUAUCAACAGAUUCAGUGUCAAUUGAAGUAACCAGUGACAAUCUAUUGAUCAAUACAGCCUCGGAAAAUUCAGUUGAAUUAACCCCAUCAACUGAUUUAACACAAUCAUUGGAUGAAAAUGGUUGAUAAAAACAGCGGCAAACAGGUGGAUUGGCCCUGGACGAGCAACGGAAAUACCUUUACCAUCAAUGACAACUCUAUCAAUAAUCGUGCAAAUUACAUUCCUAUUUUUACUCUUAUUGUUGAUUCCAUCUGAUAAAAUAAAUAUCAUUCUGAUACUUUU